rnacentral:rRNA from 1 species
AACGAACGCUGGCGGCAUGCCUAACACAUGCAAGUCGAACGAGACCUUCGGGUCUUUUGGCGCACGGGUGCGUAACGCGUCGGAACCUGCCCUUAUGUUUGGAAUACCUCCCCGACAGGGGUGCCAAUACCGGAUAAUGUCUUCGGCCCAAAGAUUUAUCGCCUUUGGAUGGGCCCGCGUUGGAUUAGCUAGUUGGUAGGGUAAAAGCCUACUACGGCGAGGAUCCAUAGCUGGUAUGGGAGACUGAUCAGCCACACUGGGAGUGGGAAACGGCCCAGACUCUUACGGGAGGCAGCAGUGGGGAAUAUAGCAACAUGGGCGGAAGCAUGAUGCAGCAAUGCCGCGUGAGUGAUGAAGGCCUUAGAGUUGUAAAGCUCUUUUACCCGGGAUGAUAAUGACAGUACCGGGAGAAUAAGCCCCGGCUAACUCCGUG